CCCUCCCCCGCCCUGGGCUCCUGACUGUCUGAUCCCUGACCUGGAGGAGGGUGGCAGGAAGUUCACAGCUUCCCCUCCGGGUAAGCCAAGGAGGCCCUGGCAGGACCUUGUCAGAGGUCACCAGAGCCAGCAGCAAUCUCUUAGUUGCGUGAUUUUAAAUUAAGUUCUGCUUCUCCGGGCCUCAGUUUCCCCACCUAAGCUGCUGGUUGGGCAGCACUGCGUUCCCGUCCUGCUCCGACCCGGGAGGAAUCCAGUGAGGGUUUUGACGACGCCCAGGGCCACUGACACCUUCAGACCUACGCGGCUCGGCUGCGGCCCGGGGUCGGAGGGGGCCGGGGGAGACCUGGAGGGGACCAGAAGGCCUUCGGGGACCCCGAGAUGAUGUGAGGCUGAAACAGUCCCCGGUGCCUGGAGCCAGCGGGGAAGGGAAACCCUGUCCGCUCACUACCCGCCACCCAUCGGUACUCGCGGUCCCGCUGCCCUGCUGUGUGACUCCCGUCAAUCCCUGGCCCUCUCUGGGCCCCACUGGAGCCUGGCUCUUGGGCAGCCGCACUCAGGGUCCUGCCUCCUUUCAGGCAGGUCCCAGCCUCGGUUUCCCCAGCCAGGUGCCGGCCCUCUUUUAAAUCCAAGUUGGGCAUCGUCAAUGCUGGGUCGCGCCCCAGGUUCCUGCUGUGGCCCGGGAAUCCCCUUGGGGCUCGGGAAGGGCGGCUCCGAUUGGCAGAUCCCUCCUGUGACGUCAGGACCUCCCGACGCCCCCUCCCCCAAAGGCACGUGGGGGGCGAUCGCAGCAAGGGAGGGGCCCGGGCCCGGUCGGAUUUGGGGUGUCCCCCCAGCCUGAAAUAGCAGCUGGUCGGCGCAGACGCAAUUCUCCUCGGACAGAUUUUUUCCUCGUCCCAAAUCCCCUCCAACCACCCCCCCACCCCCCACCCCCCCGCCAGAACGGCAGCUGCUCGAGUGGCAGAUGCACCGACUAAAUCCUCCCAGCUGGUCCUUCCACAGAGCUAACAGCCUUGAGUCCAUGCACCAUUUUGUUCCCUGCUGGGUUCCCAUUGCCUGGAACAACCCUGGCACACAGUUCUGAAAUUCUACAUUUCUUCCUCAUCCUUCCUUGGAAGUUGUGAAGAGCUUUGAUACCCUGGACAUUGUUUAGGGCACUGUCAACAGAGAAACAAAAACAGACAAUUAGAACAGAUGCUUGUGUGUCAGGAACAGAUCUUCGCACACCUCUGUUCAUGCCAGCAUUAUCCACAACG